UUUGUACUCUGAUACGAAACUGCAAUGCUUGAAUGCAGCUUACGGCAUCAAGUGGACAUGCAGGAGGCCUUGGAAUAGAAUUUCAGUUACCCCUAAAGGGCUCACACCUAGUGGCCCACGUUCCUUAUAGGACGAAACAAGAUUCAACUACAAAAUCCAACUCAUUGCCUACGUUUGAAAGCUGGGGAGCCUGCAGUACACAAGAUAAAGUCUUGCUUCUCCAUUUGUCCUUACGUGAUGGAAUUAUCUUUAAAUAGAGGAUAUUCAAAUAGCAUUUUUAUGCCUGGAGUUGUCGCAGCAUGAUUCCGGCAAAAGCCGCACUAUUUGUUAGCUGGCACACAGAGUUUUGGCCUGAAAUUCAGUAUAGACCUGCACUAUUCGGCAUGGUGGCCACUAGCCACAUGUGACUAUGGAGCCCUUGAAAUGUGACCAGCCCAGAUGGAGACGUGCUGUAAAUAUACACUACACAAUGGAUUUUGAAGAUUUCAUAUAGAAAAAAAAUAAAGUCAAAUAUCUCAUCCAUAUUUUACACUGAUUACAUUUGAAAUGGUAGUAUUUUCAGCAUGUGUUACAUAAAUUACAUUAUUAAAAUUAAUUCCACCUGUCCCUGUCUUUUUUAAUUUGGCUACUGGAAGAUUUAAAACUACCCUUGAAGUUCAUGUUCUAUUUCCUUUGCCCAGCACUGCCAGGACCUUACACGGACUCUGCCUCCACGUCACUCGCUCCCUUCCGGUCACUUCCAUAACAGGCCCGCCACUCUGACCAAGAUAACUACACACAGCAGAGUCCCAUGGGUGGAUCUCAGCAUCCGCCUGCCUGGUUCUGAUGCUGCCCUGGUUCCCACUACUGUGUGACUCCAGGCAAGGUGCUCAGCACUCCUGAGCCUCACUGCUAUUCUGGAAAAUGAGGACAAUUAGAGCACCUCCUGCAAAGAGCCACAGUGAAGACAGUCCUGGCAAAGUGUCUCCUGUGGCUAUACCAUCUGGUGAGUGAAUGUCACCUGCCACCUUCCACAACAUCACACCUCUCCCUUCCCUUAUGUAAGACUGCUUUCUUCCCUACCUCUUAACUUUACACCUGAGAUAUUGAAGUAGGUGUCUGGUCUGAUCCCUCCAACACUCCAGAGGAUUUGGUCAGUUUCCACACUGUGUGACCCACUCCCAGGUAACACUUCCACCCUCCAAACACACCAGCAGGCCUGACUCCUCCACCCUCCCGCCCACUGCUAUCUCUACCAUUCCCGCCAAUCCAGAUCCAACACGCCAUGGCACAGCUCAAGGGCCUCAGCCUCCGGGUAGCAUGCUCUGAUCCUCUGAUCUUCCUAUGGAAUGGUGUAGAUUGCUUUUGGAUUGCAUGAUUCUAUUUUAUGUUAUUUAUACUCUACCUUGUUCCCAAAAAGGGACUCAAAGUGGUCUACAAGGAUAUAUGCAAUAUGACAAGGUUGUUUAAAAUUCAGAAGCAAAAUAAAAAAUAAAGAUGAAGCUAAAGAGAAACAAGGGUAAGAACAUAAACUCGAGCUAGGAAUGCAAUGGCCCGCCAGGC
rnacentral:lncRNA from 10 species